AAGAACGCAAACACAAGCAAAUGAGGAAAGAGACUUGACAGGAACCUUAUGAGAGUGUGCUGAAAGAGCGCAAUGAACUGCGACAAGCGGUUGCCAAAAUCAAUGAAAGAAUUGAUCGAAUAGACGUGAAGCUUUCAAUGAUUGUAGAAAUGCUACAGGCGAGAAGUGCCCCUCAGCCUCAAAAGGCACAAAAAGUGCCCCGCUUCUCGAGCAAGCACAACAGUCCCCUACAGAUCUGUGGGAGGAUGGCCAAGACCUUAAUGGUUUGGAUUACGAAGUUGAACCGUCACACACAGCCCCCACCACCAGCAGCACACAUGGACACUACAUCCAAGCCUGCUGCAGACGCACUCCCCACAGGUAGAAGCCCAAACGCUUUAAAUGCCAUUAUGUUGCUAUUAUUUUGCUGUGAACAUCAACUUCACUCCUUAUUUCUCAUCAGCUGCAGACCCAAAAGCCCACACUCCUUUUACUGACGUUGGUGAUGGCAAGGUAAGUGCACGACUGUGUUCCCUUCAUUUCUUUUUUAAAGAUUUUGUUUUCAUUUACAGUAUCACGUGAAAGAUGGCCUCAUGAUUGGAAGCAAGCAGGCAGAAAAAAUCCUGGGCCAUAAAAAACCUUCACUCGUUGUAAAGGAUAUGGCCCAAGCCAUAUGGGGUCGCGAAGGAUUGGCGGAGCGAAGUUAUGGAGGCAAAUUAGCCCCCAAGGACUACAAGAACCCCAACGCAGUCGUGCGGAAGCAACUGAGUCCACACAAGGUUGCUUUGAUUAUUGACACCGUGACACAUUGGGGGUCGAGGAGCGGAGUCCCAGUUAAGGAAACGCUGGACAAUUUGUCUACCAUUUUGUCUAAAAAAAUUCAAGACGUCAGGAGGACAAAGAGAAAGGAAGAUUGAAUGCUUCAAAAAUCUUUUCUUUUGACUUCACAUUAUUUCCUUUUUUUUUAAG